CGCUGCGAACUCGCGAGAGGGAGCCAAUCGGAAAAAGCCGGUCUCAGUUCGGAUUGGAGUCUGCAACUCGACUCCAUGAAGUUGGAAUCGCUAGUAAUCGCAGAUCAGCACGCUGCGGUGAAUACGUUCCCGG
rnacentral:rRNA from 1 species